CUACAUUCCUUUACAGGAUUUACAGGAUUAUCCCAGUUUACUGGUUAAUUAUUGUGGUAUUUCAAUACUAAUCCUGCUAUAACUAUUUCUGGAACAUUGGAGUAGUCCUGCUCUUGGAAUCACUGAGCGUAUAAUUAAUUCCAUGGUGUGGUGUGAAGAUUUCCUGCAAGAAGCCUCUCUGAGCUACGUAGCUAUGGUCCAGGAGGAAAAAGAGCCUUGCAAGAAUAAAGUAAUGGAUGAGAUACUUAAUUCUAUUUCUGUAGAAGGUAAUGAUAAUUAUUAUGGAAAGAACUUGUACUAUACUGAAGGAGAUGAGGGUUUUUUAAUUAAAAGAGAAAAAAAGGCAGAUCCUGAAUCCUGCAAGGUGAGGAGGAUAAGGAUGAGUCUGUGGUGUAAGGCUCACAGGGGAAGCUGACAAUACAGUAGAUCAUACUGUGAGCAUGCAGUACAUACUUCCUUCAUUUCUGGCUUUUGUGUUUGUUUGUUUUAUUUUUUAAUGCUGAAAAUUUUCAAAUGAUUUUUCAAAUGGUUGUCUACUGUGCAAAACUUGCUUAUAUCUCAGUCAUUCAAAGCAGCAACCCAAUUUAUGCCUUCAGCUUUGAGCUUUGACUGCAGGCUGUGAUGGACAGAAUAAUGGUGGUAAGCCUUGUUUCUGAAGUAACCUCUAGUCCUCAACUGGUAAAACAGAAGCAAGAAUAUAUACCAAAGAAUCUUAAGUGCUGUUUUCAUGACAUUAAGCUCAAGUAGAACUAUCUUGAAAACUGCAAAAAAUAAUGGCCACAUGCUGCACAAGAAUGUGCUUAGAAGCGCAGUUGCUUUGUACCAAAAAUUGCCCUGAGAGGUUUGCAAAGAUAAUUAGCAUUAGCCUAAUUGCCUUACUGAAGUCGAGGGGUAAAGCAGAGUUGGGCUAUGUGCAGCUUAUCACACGAAAGAACUUGUAGUGAUACAGGAAUGUUGUUUUCCACUAUAAAAGGUUUAUACUGGACUUUGAGAUUCUGACAAUGAUUGUACUCUGUAUCAGUACAGCUUAAGCGCUGCAACCCAAUCCCUGCGAAUUUCGCCAGUAAAACCGACAUUGUGUGAGGAAAUUGUGCAGCUCAUCGUGUCUCUAGGCUAAUGUCUAUUGCUUCUCUACUGCAAAUUUUCAGAGAGUGAUUGGUGUCCAACAAAUUUGCUUUGCAGAAAAAGGGGGGAAAAUCAAGUGAUGAUGAAGGACCCAGGUGUGUUCUAAACCUUUGCUUUAGCGACCUCAAAUAUACUUUAAUUCUCCAAACAGAGAAGCAAAGAAGGACAUAAAGAAUGGCAGAGCAAAGAUGGGUUUGGGGAAUACUGGGGGACUUUGAAGUGAGAAAUUCCCAAAGUUCUGUGAGUGUGAUCUUUAUGUGGGAAAGAUUUAGAGUUUCUGAGAGAGACUUGGGGGUAGAACUGGUGAAGGGGAGAAGCUGGUACAUAGCAAAUGGACUUCCACAUGGGCAUCCUUCCACAAGAGGCAGGAGGGGAAGGUAAGGGAAUCUUGGUGGGGAGAGGUAGAAAAAAGGUUUGUUACAGGAGAGGACUGAGGCAUAAGCAAGGCUUUUUCUGGGAAAGAGAGUGGGAGCAAAUUCUCUCUCUAGCUUGGGGGACCAAAAAUGAUUUUGGCAUGAAGUGCAUGACCACAGGGACUCUUGAUUUUGGAGGCUGAAUUUUGAAACAGGAGUCUGGUCUGGUCAUCCUGCUCCACUGCUGAGGACACAACUGGAGUGGUAUACCACAGUUCUGGGUUCUGUGGCCCAAGAGACAAAAAGCCAUAAUGAAACAAGUCCAGUGAAGGUCCAUGGGUAUGAAUCAGGGCUUGGAGCACCUGUCAUACAAGGAGAGGCUGAGAGCUGGAGCUGUUUAACCUGGGGAAAAGGAGGCUCAAGGGUAACUUAUCAAGUUUUUUAUAAACAUUUGAUGGGAGAAGGAAAUAUGGAGGCAGAUUCUUUCCAGUGGCUUGAAGGACAAGAAAACAAGACAAGGGGAAAGGGCUGAGAAAUGAAAUAGAGAAAAUUGCAUUUGACUGUAAGAAUAGACUGUUUUGCUUUUAAAUUGUAAUCAAACACUGAAAUAAAUCACUCAGAGGUUGUAGAGUCUCUGUCCUU
ensembl:lncRNA